GUUACCGUCAGAUGAUGUUUAAUUUUUGUGUGUGACAGUUCUUGUACUGAUUGAAUGUUUUGCUACUUCUGGUGGUUGCACUGUGUCAGCUGAGAGAAAUCAGCAGAGUAAGACAUAUACUAAAAUAUCUGCUGGUGUUCCAAUAGUACGUGGAUUGCCUGGAUUGAACAAGUUCCAGAACGACAUGAAAUGAAGGGAGAGAAAGAAGUGAAAAUGUGAGAAAGGGUUAGUUGGAAGAACCGGCUUAAAAGAAAUAAGAGGUGAACAAAGAGAGAAAGACAAAGAAGUCACGAAAAUGAACAAUUGAAAACUGUGUGUAUGGAACGAUUCAGAACUGUAAUUUUAGCAAACAAAACGUCCAGUCAACUCGACGUGUUGCCUAUGCAGGAAAUGUCGGGGUUUAUUGCGAAAAGAGGGGUGCUGCAUGUUCUUGAUGGUAUUUUACAUUCAACGGUAAAAAGUGCAGUGGACCUAUACUUAUCACUAUUGAGGGAGUUGUGUAUGGUAAUCAAGCAAAGGAUUUUGCACUUUGUCUCAGACAUAUUGAGGGAUACUGUGAGGACAUUCCAUCAGGUCAAGUCAAAAUUGGAUUCAACAUUGGAGACUGUGCAGAAUCAUGACAGAAACCGUCAUCGUAUACAGGAUAUCUAACAGUACUGUAUCUCGCAUUAUGUUGAAGACGUUGCUCCACCACGAAAUUAAGUGACUGAAUUAGAGAGGAGUUUGGAACUUGUGUUCAGUAACUGUAUUGUUUGCAGUACGUACAGUACGAGGUAGCUGAAGUAGGAGGCUGGAUGGUGUGCGUGCAUAUGUCUCUCUUUGUAUGAGAGUGCAUGAUGCACAGAUGAAACAGUUGUCAUGAGAUUUAAUUAAUCAACUUGAAUUUGA